rnacentral:rRNA from 15 species
CGUAGAUAGAUCGGAGCCGUAAUUGAAGGUCAGCGGGAAAAGUGGUAUGCGUUGCUCAUUGACCAGUUCUCUGAAAAUUUCUUCAUUGAAAUCCCGAAAGCAAAAGUCGGCUCUUGUCUAU